GGCCUCUUGCCAUCGGAUGUGCCCAGAUGGGAUUAGCUAGUAGGUGGGGUAACGGCUCACCUAGGCGACGAUCCCUAGCUGGUCUGAGAGGAUGACCAGCCACACUGGAACUGAGACACGGUCCAGACUCCUACGGGAGGCAGCAGUGGGGAAUAUUGCACAAUGGGCGCAAGCCUGAUGCAGCCAUGCCGCGUGUAUGAAGAAGGCCUUCGGGUUGUAAAGUACUUUCAGCGGGGAGGAAGGGAGUAAAGUUAAUACCUUUGCUCAUUGACGUUACCCGCAGAAGAAGCACCGGCUAACUCCGUGCCAGCAGCCGCGGUAAUACGGAGGGUGCAAGCGUUAAUCGGAAUUACUGGGCGUAAAGCGCACGCAGGCGGUUUGUUAAGUCAGAUGUGAAAUCCCCGGGCUCAACCUGGGAACUGCAUCUGAUACUGGCAAGCUUGAGUCUCGUAGAGGGGGGUAGAAUUCCAGGUGUAGCGGUGAAAUGCGUAGAGAUCUGGAGGAAUACCGGUGGCGAAGGCGGCCCCCUGGACGAAGACUGACGCUCAGGUGCGAAAGCGUGGGGAGCAAACAGGAUUAGAUACCCUGGUAGUCCACGCCGUAAACGAUGUCGACUUGGAGGUUGUGCCCUUGAGGCGUGGCUUCCGGAGCUAACGCGUUAAGUCGACCGCCUGGGGAGUACGGCCGCAAGGUUAAAACUCAAAUGAAUUGACGGGGGCCCGCACAAGCGGUGGAGCAUGUGGUUUAAUUCGAUGCAACGCGAAGAACCUUACCUGGUCUUGACAUCCACGGAAGUUUUCAGAGAUGAGAAUGUGCCUUCGGGAACCGUGAGACAGGUGCUGCAUGGCUGUCGUCAGCUCGUGUUGUGAAAUGUUGGGUUAAGUCCCGCAACGAGCGCAACCCUUAUCCUUUGUUGCCAGCGGUCCGGCCGGGAACUCAAAGGAGACUGCCAGUGAUAAACUGGAGGAAGGUGGGAAUGACGUCAAGUCAUCAUGGCCCUUACGACCAGGGCUACACACGUGCUACAAUGGCGCAUACAAAAGAGAAGCGACCUCGCGAGAGCAAGCGGACCUCAUAAAGUGCGUCGUAGUCCCGGAUUGGAGUCUGCAACUCGACUCCAUGAAAGUCGGAAUCGCUAGUAAUCGUGGAUCAGAAUGCCACGGGUGAAUAACGUUUCCCGGGUCUUGUACA
rnacentral:rRNA from 1 species